rnacentral:lncRNA from 1 species
CCCUCCUCCCUUUCACUUAACCCGAUUCCUCACCUCUAACCCGAUAAAACAAUAACAAACAAUGGCUUCAAUUUCAAUAGCUUCAGCUGUGUACAACAACACUCCAACAACAACAAAACCAUCGAACAACAGCUUCAAUCAAUGUACAACCUGAUACCAACCCGUCAACCCAACUUCACCAAUGACAAAACCCGAUAUCAACAGGUCAAGUGACCCAACAAAAAUUCAAAACCUAAAAAUUCUCAAUUCGUACCAUUAUUGUACGAAUCCUGCUAAUCCCAAACUUAUCCCAUUCUUGAAUUCAAAUUUCCACAUAGAAAUUUUUGAAAUUACCCUGGAUUUCUUUGACUCAAACAUCAAAAAUCUAUUCCCAAAGCCCUCAAUUGCAUUUCUAUAAAUACGGGGUAGUCAUUGUCAGGAAAAAACCCCAUUGUAAAGGAUUUUUCCGUUAGUAAAGGUUUUCAAAACCAAAAGGUCCUAUAAGACUCCUUGAGCUUAGAUUUUGGGAAAGGAAACACAAAGCUUCCCGACGGUGGUGAAGCGAUCCCGAUCAAAGCUCGUCGUCUCGAUUUUGCUACCCCAAAAAAGGUAAACUCACCCUUUUUUCCCAUUCGUUAGUUAUUUCGUCUUCUUCAUCUUCUUUUUAUGAGUAGCAGUUUGUCGUAAUCGUAGUUAUGAUGGGACUAUGUGUUAUAUAAACCUAGGUUUUUAUUUUUGUUGUUUCAUUGGUGUAAAUACAUCCUGUUUUGUUAAUGUUAUUUUCCAUCGAUUUAUUAUGUAGUUGUUAGAAUAAUGGUUUUGUUGCUGUAGAUUUUGGUUUCUUCUUCCUUUCUUUGUAUUAAAUCCUUGUUUUGUGAUGUUUGAUAGAAAAGGUUCAUUGGAAUUGAAAAGAGAAUGCUUUGAAUUGGUUUAAGUAUGGUACUAUCUUUUUAUUACAAAUCCGACCUUUAUUGGUUCAUGAAUUUAAAAAUCUAUUAUUUCUCUUUUCCUUCAAAAGUUGUCUUUUGGAGUCUAUUAUUAUCGUUUUGUGUCGAUUCUUCUUUUGAAUUUUCUUUCGAGUAUGAGUUCUAAUCACUCUAUCUCACUGUUAUGAUUUCAUGUUUUUAUUUUCUCUUUUAUUUGAUUAUUUAGAAUCCACAUUCACGAUAUUACUCAUUAGUACUACUUUUGUUUGUCUCAUGUUGGCCUGUGUCUAGAAAAUGCUACAAUAGUUGAUAAAAGACUCAAGUUUAAAAUACGAGAUUUUCAUCCAUUUCUUGUGUUGUGUAACCAAAAGGCUAAAUAGAAAAUGACCUCAUUGAUUAAGAAACAGAAACUCUAGAACUGGAAUUUGGUUUCUGUCUAGUUUAACUCUGUACUGCUGCAAUUUUUGUUGGAUAAUAUUGCACUAGGACGAGUGUAAAUUGAGUGAUAUGGAUAUUGAGUAGUCAUAUAGUUGAUUCAAACUUGUCUGGAAUUAAGACAUAGUAUAAAUUAUCUGGAAUUGUUAUAUGUAAUCUGUUUCAUUCGUGUUUUACUGUUUUGCUUCUAAUUUUUAUAUGGAUUAAGCUCUUAAUGCCUAUUUUUAUGGAUUAGUUCAUAGGUUGAAAUAUGUUGCGAUAUUGUGAACUAGUGCUGGGAUGGUUGAGGCUGCCAUUGUGUUCUUUUUCCGUUUGCUUUCUUAGAUUCAUCACCUUAUAUAUCAAAGUAGUUCCUCUAAAGUAGACAAACUUUUAUCGGUCAAGAGAUAACCGUUUACUGCUUCCUUUUCCGUAAUUAAAAGUUGUCUGUGAGGUUAAAACUGUUAAUGUGUAUUCGUAAUCCAACAGGCGUUUCAUUAUUUCUCAAUACUAAAUGAGGACCUAUUGAGCAAAAAAAUUAGCUUACUUUUGGGGUUUUUUUUAGCAAUCCCUGGAAAGUGAGUUCAGAAGAAUGAAAAUUCAUCUUAUAAUUUUGGUGCAUCCUAGGACCAUUUAGUUUAACUAUUCUUGUUUGAAUUUCUGGUUGAGAUGUUGUAAACAUUCCUUCAAGUAUUCGAAUUUAUGGUAACACGACAUUUUAUUUAUUUAUUUAUUUUUAUUUUUAUUUAUUUAUGUAUGUAUUUUGCUGUUGUUUUGUUUUGUUUUGACAGUAUUGUUAAUUUGUUUGUUUAAGCCAACUGCACUUUGACACAUUUUCAGCUUUGAUAUAUCAAAUGAUGUUAUACUUAGUUUUACUUUGUAGAUUAAGGAUUUACUAACAUUUUAUUUACAAUUACUAUUCAAAAAUUUUAGUGUCUUGAUUCAUGGAAGAUGAAGUUAGAAUGAGUAUUUUGAUCUAAUUUACUUUCUAUACUUUCUAUACAUGAAUGGGUAACUAAUUUUUCUCUCGUGUUUGCAUGUGAAACCAAUUUCAAUCAAUUCGGACUCCUCGCUCUCUCGCUUCUAUCAUCCUUGAGUUAAAAGUCUCAUACAAGUCCACAAUGGACUAAUACAUGAAGAAACAGGACUGAUAUAUACGCAGAUAUACAGUAGUAUACAGCAGUGAAUGAAGGGAAGGAAUGAAGACACCAAUUUUAUACGCUGAUAUACAGUGUUGUAUACAAAAACGCAGCAGCAACAACGUUGAUAUACAGUCAGUAUACAGCUGAUAUACAGAGAUGAAAAUGGACCAAAGUCCAUAAAAGGUAAGGCCCAAAACCUGGGCAGAUUUGAAAAUGGGCUAGAAAGGGGCUCAAAUCUCAUCUUUCUCCUUUAUUUAUUUGUAUUUAAUUUGAUUAUUUGUUUGUAAUUUUAUCUAAUUUAGAUGAAUCCUCAGGGAGCAAGUUUACAUUAAGAUUAUUCAUUUUAUUUAUUAAUUUUUUUAUUUCCACAAAACAGCUGCAGCUCCCAUGUUUUUCCCCCCUAUUGAAACAAACAAUUUUCCCCUUUACUGAGCAUAAAGAAGAGGCUAGAGCAUCAAUGCUUUCUAAAAUAUAUUUAUGAAGAGCACAUAUAAGGUAAAUGUAACCAACUAACGUUCACGAAACCCACGACUACUGCCCCUUGACCGGCUGAUGUUGGCGACGGCGUCGGAGGGUCGGUAACAGGCAAUAAUAACCCUCACUCCCUCUUUCUUUUUCCCCAGUUCUCUUUACCCUCUUCUCUCUCCCAUUCCCUGUGCCUCUCCGUCGUUCGAACCACUUGUUGCUUUCGUCGGCGAUCAAAGUCGCCGUUGGCUAGACUCCGGUGACACAGAUAGUGCGCAGCUUUGGUCACACGCGAUCGAUUCGACGGGUCCAUCUGAUGGUACUGUUGAUUUCGAACAGAUCUGAUUCCCAUAAGUUUUGAUUUCGGAGGCACUCCGGUGAAGCUCCGGUCAUAAUACCAAGCGUAACUCGGUGACUUCUAACCUUUGCUAUUUCAUUCUUCGUAUAAAUUCUAGUUUUAUCUUCUGUAUCUUGACUUGCGCUUAAUUUGCUGGGAUUGUCUGUUGUUGUGUAUUUUCGGUUUAAUCCAUUGCUUGACUUAGUUAUAAUUUGUGGGUUUGACAUUUUCUUUAUUAUUACAUAUAAUGUGCUUGUGCCUUGUAUUUUCUUCUGUUGCUUUAUUACUGUCAUUGUGUGUUUUUAUGGGAGUGGUGGCUGUGGGCAUUGAUGGUAGGAUAGGGUCAUGUCCGAGGGAGUUAGGGCGGGGGCCUGUGUUGGGGGGUGGGGAAGGAGGGAAGAGCGGGGGGGGCUAGGCCCAACGUUAGGGGGGUAGAGGAAGAUGGCUAGAGUUCAUAGGCUGCGGGUUGGGUCUUGGAAUAUAGGUACUCUUCAGGGUAAGUCUAUAGAGCUGGUGAAGAUUCUUAGAAAGAGGAGGAUCAAUAUUGCGUGUGUGCAUGAGACUAAGUGGGUAGGGUCUAAGACUAGGGAUGUGGAAGGUUACAAGCUUUGGUACUCUAGUAGCGAGAGGCGUAGGAAUAGAGUUGACAUCUUAGUAGAUGAAGAGCUUAAAGGGCAGGUAGUGGAAGUUAAGAGGAUUAGCGAUAGGUUGAUGACUGUUAAGUUGGUCAUUGGGGGGUCUACUCUGAUUGUGUGUAGUGUUUAUGCACCGCAAAUGGGGUUGGAUGGGGAGGAGAAGAUGCGGUUUUAGGAGGCGUUGGAUGAGGUGGUGAGAGGAGUGCCUAGUUUUGAGAAGAUUGUUGUAGCAGGGGAUUUCAAUGGGCAUAUUGGGGCGUUAUCGGGAGGCUUUGGCGAUGCGCAUGGCGGUUUUGGUUUUGGGGAGAGAAAUAAAGAGGGAGCUGCUCUGUUGGAUUUUGCGAUGUCCUUUGGGUUGGUAGUAGUGAAUUGAGCUUUCCGAAGAAGGACGAUCACCUGAUCACCUUUCGAAGUGUAAUAGCCAAGACGCAAAUUGACUUUUUGCCCCUUAGGAAAGGGGAUAGGGUAUUGUGUAAGGACUGUAAAGUAAUCCCGAGUGAGAAUCUUUUGACUCAGCAUAGACUCUUAGUGAUGGACUUGGGUAUUAAGAAAGAUAAGAAGAGAAGGGGUGAGGAGAGUAGAUCUAGAAUUAAGUGGGGCGGCCUUACGCUGGUAAAUGCGAAAGAGAUAGGGGAAAAGGUGAUAGAAGUGGGGGUGUAAAAGUGCAGGGGACACGUGAAUGAUAUGUGGGAUAGGGCGGCUAGGUGCAUCAAAGAGACUGCUAGUGAGGUGUUGGGUAUUUUCAGGGGCUGUGCCGGCCAUCGUCGGGAGGAUUAGUGGUAGGAGGCGUAUGCUAAGUUAGGUGAGAGUAAGGAUGAAGAUGAGAAAUGGGCUAAUAGGGAGGAGUAUAAGAUAGCUAGGAAGCAGGCUAAGUUAGCAGUCACGGCUGCUAAGACAGCAGUGUUCGAGAGCUAGUAUAUGGGGUUAGAGGAGAAAAGAAGGGAAAAAGGUUAUUUAGGCUUGCUAAGGCUAGGGAGAGAAGGGUUGUGACCUCGACCAGGUGAAGUGCAUUAAGGAGGAGGAUGGUAGAGUAUUGGUGGAGGAUGGUCACAUUAAGAAGAGAUGACAGUCGUACUUUGAUAAGUUAUUGAAUGAAGAAGGGGAUAGAGUUAUUGUAUUGGGGGAGAUGGAGUACACAGAGGAGUAUCGUGACUUUAGUUAUUGUAGAUAUUUUAAGGUAGAAGAGGUCAGAGAGGCUGUUUGCAGGAUGCGUAGGGCUUGCGAUGGGGCCUGAUGAGAUCCCUGUUGAUUUUUGGAAGUUCUCUGGCGAGGCUGACUUAAGGUGGUUGACUGAAUUAUUUAACGAUAUUUUCAAGUCGGCAAAAAUCCCUGGGGAUUAGAGAUAGAGUGCUAUAAUUCCUCUUUAUAAGAACAAGGAUUACAUUCAGAGUUGCCAUAACUGUAGAGGUAUUAAUUUAUUGAGCCACACUAUGAAGAUUUGGGAGAGAGUGGUCGAGUUGAGGUUAAGGAGGAUAGUAUCUAUCUCGGAGAAUCAGUUUGGAUUUAUGCCCGGGCGUUUGACGACAGAGGCAAUUCACCUGGUGCAGAGAUUAGUGGAACAGUAUAUGGAAAGAAAGAGGGAUCUGCACAUGGUGUUUAUCGACUUGGAGAAGGCGUAUGACAAAGUCCCUAGGGAGGUGCUUUGGAGAUGAAGGUGAGUGGGGUAUCGAUGGCAUAUAUUAAAGCAAUCAAGGACAUGUAUAAUGGAGCUAAGACUUAGGCGAGGAUGGCGGGAGGAGACUCAGAGUAUUUUUCUGUCUUGACGGGGUUGCACCAGAGUUCCACUCUUAGCCCAUUUUUGUUUGCUUUGGUAAUAGAUGUGUUGAUGCGGCGUAUUCAAGGAGAAGUGUCUUGGUGUAUGCUUUUUGCAGAUGAUAUAGUUUUGAUUGAUGAGAUGCGGGGUGGGGGUGGGGGGCAUGAAUGAUAAAUUAGAGGUGUGGAAACAGACCCUUGAGUCUAAAGGGGUCAGGUUGAGCAGGAGCAAGACAGAAUAUUUGGAAUGCAUGUUUAAUGACGUGAGGCAGGAAAGCGAGGUGGUAGUAAGGUUGGAUUCCCAGACGGUGGGUAAGAGGGAUAGUUUCAAGUAUUUGGGGUCCAUAAUCCAGGGGAAUGGUGAUAUUGACGAGGAUGUCUCCCACCGUAUUGGGGUCGGAUGGAUGAAGUGAAAGCUCGCCUCGGGGGUGUUGUGUGGUAGGAAAGUGCCGCCCAAGCUUAAAGGUAAAUUUUACAGGGUGGCAGUCCGUAUGGCCAUGUUGUAUGGAGCGGAAUAUUGGCCAGUCAAGAACUCUCACAUUUAAAAAUUAAAGGUGGCAGGAAUGUGGAUGCUGCGUUGGAUGUGUGGGCUUAAUUGGGGUGAUAGAAUUCGAAACGAGACUAUUCGAGAAAAGAUUGGAGUGGCUUCGGUGGAAGACAAGAUGCGGAAAGUCCGAUUGAGAUGGUUCGGGUAUGUGAUGAGGAGGGGCAUAGAUGUCCCGGUUCGUAGGUGUGAGAAACUUGCUUUGGAUGGUUUCAGGCGAGAUAGGGGUAGGCUGAAGAAAUACUGGAGAGAGGUGAUCAGGCGGGUCAUAGAGCAGUUACAGCUCACUGAGGACAUGACCCCAGAUAGGAAGAUCUGGAAGAUGCGGAUUAGGUUAAAAGGCUAGUGUCAGUUUGAGUAGUUGGGGUAGGGCAUUACUUGGUAGAUGUAUUAUUCUUGCUAGGACACUUUGUUGCAUGCUUUAUUACGAAUGUAUUUACUAUUCUUUGUUUAUUAUUCCUUGUGGGUGGCGUAUUUAUAUCUUGGCAUCUUGUUCCAUGCUUUAUUAAGUAUUUAUUUAUUACUCCUUGUCUUGAGCCGGGGGUCUAUCGAAAACAGCCUUUCUACUUCUCCUGAAGUAGUGAUAUAGACUGCGUACAUCUUACCCCCCAGACCCCACUAUGUGGGAAUACACUGGGUUUGUUGUUGUUGUUUUCUUUAUUUCUUUAUUUAGGCAAAUUUUUUGCUUAUAAAAUAACUUGAAAUUCUUUUUUUUAUAUAGUUAUUAAUAGUUUAAAUCCAUUUUUAAGAAGUUGGGUUAAUUAUUUAGCCUAAAGUCUUAAUCCGGAUAAAAUUAUUAAAGUUAGAGUUAUUUUGAAUCUUUUGAUUCUUAAUUUAUUUUAUUUUAUCGCUUAGAAUAAAUUAGAUGAAUUAGUAGCAAAUAAAUUUUAUUGAUUUCAACUAAGAUUUUCAAAUAAAUUCAAGAUCUUUCUAAAAUAAGUUCAAGAUUUUUGUAACUUAAGAAAUGUUUUUCAAGUUUAGCCAAACAAGUUAAAUCUGUCGGGAACCACACUUGUGAAUUUUCGAAAGUACCUAACACCUUUUGAAUUUACGUGAACCCUUACAUAGACUCUGGUUAUUUUUAAUGGUUCUUGUUCAAAAUUAUCUUUUUGGCUGCUUAAUUUUUCUAAAAUUAAGUGGCGACUCUAAGUUAUUUUUCAAAAUAAAAUCGAAUAGACUUUUCUUUUAUUUUUUACCAUGAAGUUAUGGAACGUUUUUGACUAGUGUCAAAAAUGGAUCGUAACAAUCUCGAGUGAAAAUGGGAACAGAUCACUAUGGACUUCAUGACUAGGUUGUCUCAUAUUUCUUGUGGUUUUAAUAGUGUUUGGAUAAUCAUGGAUUGAUUGACCAAAUUUGCUCAUUUUAUUCUGAUUCGGGUUUCUUUCAGUGUUGAGAGGUUGGCAUGUAUCUAUAUUUGUGAGAUAGUUUGUCUUCAUAGUGCUCCAGUGUCUAUCAUCUUAGAUCGAGGUUCAGUGUUAUCUUCUUAAUUUUGAAAGACUUUUUAGAGAAGUUAUGUACUCAAGUUAAUCUUAGUACAAUAUUUCACCCCCAUACUAAUGAUCAAUCAAGUGGACUAUUCAAAUUUUGGAGGAUAUGCUCCACACUUGUGUGAUAGACGUUUGUGGUCAGUGGGAGCAGCAUCUAACUUUGGCAGAGUUUCUGUAUAAUAAUAGCUACCAUUCAAGUAUUGAGAUGUCUCCUUUCGAGGCCUUUUAUGGUAGGCAUUGCCGCUCUCCAUUUGGUUGGUUUGAUGUUUUGGAGAUUAAACGUCGAGGUAUGGACUUGAUCCAAGUGUUUUUGGAUAGAUUUUAGGUCAUUCAAUAUAGACUUCGAGUGGCUCAGAGUAGGCAGAAGUGUUAUACGAACUGUAGACUUUGUGCCUUGAGAUUCAGUGUUAGUGAUCGUAUCUUUCAUCAUGUGACAUCCAUGAAGGGCGUGAUGAGGUUUGGGAAGAGGGGCGAGCUAAUCCUCAAGUAUAUUGGACAUUUUGAGAUCCAUUGAACUAUUGGGAAUGUGGCUUAUGAGGUAGCAUUACCUCCAGAUUUAUUAAUUGUUCAUCCAGUUUUUCAUGUUUCUAUGCUUUGGUGUUACAUUCCAAACGAGUAUCAUGUCAAUCAUUAGGAUUCAAUCCAGUUAGAUGAGUGGUUGUCUUUUGUUGAGGAGCCUAUCUCCGUUCUAGCCAAAGAUGUUAGAUGGUUGUGUUCUAGAGUUAUUCCUAUGGUUAAGGUCUAGGGGAGGCAUCGACCUAUAAAUGAGUCUACUUGGGAGGUCGAGUCUAAUUUGCAUAGUAGUUAUCACUAGUUUUUCACUGAUUCGGGUAAUUUUAUUGUCCUUAGUUCAAGGACGAAUUAGAUUCUUAGUGGUGGCUGAUAUAAUAACUUGAUUUUUGGUGAUUUCGAUGAAAUAUUUGGGUUUGCAUGAAUUGGCCAUUUUACCUCUCCGCGUGUUUGCAUUGUGGUGUUUUUGGGGUGUGGGGAUGUUUGGCAUGAUUCCCAAUGUAUUUUGAUAUGAUUUAUGUGAGGUUGUAAUUUUUAGUGGUCUUAAAGGCUUACUAGUUGGCAUCGGUCAACAUCUUUUGAUUUCUGCGUCGGAUGGCAAAAUGGACUACAUUAGAAAAACAGACUGCAUUAGAAAAUCCAAAACGUCAAUUUUAGAUUGGUUACAUAGUUGGUGUGGUUUUAUAGAUUUCAUCUUAUUUUGACCCUCUAUUCAGGAAGUUGCAAAAAUAGGUCUUGGGGGUUAAUUCUGUGAAAACAAUAGCUUUUCAAAAUACUGAUAUCUCCAUUGAGUACGGAGCGUCGAAUUUGAUAGGUUAGCAUAGUUUGUUUGUAUUUUUGGGUCUUCAGAUGAAUCUCGAGGGGUCCAUGGAGACUUUAAAUCUACAGCUGGUUCAGCCGCUAAAGCGCCACUAUGGCUGUUUUAUUGACAGGCGCUAAAGCUCCACUUGACCGUUUUAGCCGCCAGCUAGCAGUUGGGCAAGGGCACUUUAAUGACCUAAUAUACUUUAGUGGAGAGUUCUAUAGUGACCCUUGUCUGCUAUAAUGGACUGGCACGCUAAGCGGGUACGGCUAAAGCGGUACUUGACCACUUUAGCGACACCUAGCACUAAGUAUGUAAAUAAUCUUUUUCUCAGUUUUCUUCACUAUUUUUGAGACUUAGAGCUUAGGGUUUGAGUUUUUGGUCAUUUUCUUCUAUUCUUUAAGCUUGGGUAAGCUCCAAACUCCCAUUUAAACUACUUUUCUUCGAUUCUAUCAUUUAAAUCUUGUUUAAACUCAAAUUUAAAGGUGGAAUUUGGGAAUUUUGUCUCGAAAGGCCCAAAUUUACAUUUCUUCGUUUCAAACCCCAAUUUCACCUCACUUUUACUUGAGUUUUCUCCUAUGAGUUCCUUUAAUCUUCAAAAACAUAUUUUUGGAUAAAAAUUUAACUUUACCCUCCUUUUUUUCAAAACCCAUUUUGAGGGUCCGUUUUGACCCCUAUUCGAAUGUGAUUAAUAUGGGUAUCAUUGGUUUUCUUUUGAAGCAUAGAUUUUAUAGUAGUGUGUUCUAGAUGAUUUUUGGGUCUGUGCGUGAGGUGAAAGCUCAGUGAUAAAGGCUGAUUUGUUCUGACUUUGGCAUUCGAGGUAGGUUAUGGCUUAACUUUCUUUAGACUGGGUUGGUAGUUAAUUAUAAUGUACAAGCAUGCUAUGGGUAUGGGGUUGUAUCAUGAAAAAUAUGUUUAUGUGAUUCAUGUUUGUGUGGCUAGCUUUGCUCUACAAGCCUUGUCUUAGGUUUUGGUAUUUACUUCCCUUAUUAUAUCAGCUAAGGUAAUAAGCCUUCUUGUCAAUGCUUAUCACGACAAGUGUCAUCAUGACCCUUGGUUUUUGGGUCAUGAUAUUUAGACAACUUUUUAACUCUUGACCAGACUUAUACCUUGGAUUUACUUUAAAGAACAGUCCAAGUUCGGUGAUGGUUACUCUGUUAUGGCUCUAUAUUUCCAGUUUAUGUCUCCCCUAUUGACUCUUUCUAUUGAGGGUGAGGGGUUUAUCAUAUAUUGUGAUCCUUUUGGUAUCUGUUUAGGUGAUGUUCUUAUUUAUUGGGUUGAGUUAUUUCUUAUGCAUUGGGGCAGCUAAAGGUGAAUGAGCUUAACUACCCCAUUUAUGAUUUGGAGUUGGCUGCUGUAGUUUUUGUGCUUAAGAUUUGGAGGUAUUCAUUGCGAGAUCUACACCAAUCAUUGAAAUCUUUAGCACUUUAUAACUCAGAGAGACCUUAAUUCUAGACAGUUCAGAUAGAUGUUGCUAAAGAACUAUGACAUCUCUAUUUUAUACCAUCCAAGCAAACACGAAUAUGAUAGCAGACAUCUUGAUCUGGAAGGUGGCGAGUAUGCGUAGCUUGGAUUUUCUCAUCUUUUAAGAUGCCACUGGCAUGGGAUAUCUAUUCCUUAGUCAACUUAAUGGUUCGACUUGAUAUCUCAGACUCCAGGAUAAUCCUUGCUAGUGUUGAGUCUAAAUCUACCUUAUUUGAGUGGAUUUAGAGUUACGAGUUUGAGGAUAGUAGACUUUGUGGCAUCCGUGAUCAGGUUUUGAGGGGUGACUCCAGGAGGGCUACUUGGAUUCUAAGGGAGUUUUGAGACAUGAUAGUUAUAAAUGUGAUUUGAGGGUUGGAGACUUGAUUCAGUUGAUAUUGUGAGAGGCUCACAACUCUAAGCAUUCUAUUCACCCUGGGACAACUAAGAUAUAUAGAGAUUUGAGACAACACUACUGGUGGAGUAGCAUAAAAAGAGAUGGGGAAAAUAUUGUGGCUCGUUGCCUAUGUUGUUAGCAGGUAAAGGCCAAGAAUUAGGGGCCUGGAGGCCUGGUUCAAAGAUCUCCCAUUCCCGAGUAGAAGUGGGAUUGGAUCACCUGGACUUUGUUAGUGGUUUUCCUCGCACCUCUCGGGGUUUCGCAAUUUGGGUCAUUAUAGAUCGAUUGACCAAAUUGGAACAUUUCUUUCCUAUUCAAAUAUCCUUCAGUGAUGAGAGGUUCGCCCAAAUCUACAUUCGGGAGAUAGUUCACCAACACAGAGUACCUAUAGCUAUUAAUUCAGACAGUACUCAAGUGGACAUUACCACCAGUUUCCACCCUUAAACCAAUGGAAAAUUAAAGCAGACUAUUUAGGUUCUCGAUAAUAUGCUUGGACUAGUGUUAUGGACUUUAGAGAUCAAUGGGGCAGCACUUAGCACUAGCAAAAUUAGCUUACAAUAAAAGCUACCAUUAUAGAAUUAGAAUGGCACCAUUUGAGGCAUUAUAUGGUAGGGAUUGUCGAUCUCUGAUCGGGUAGGUCAAGACCUCUAAGGUUAGUCCCUGUGAUACCUAUUUACUUUGUGGGUUGUUUUGAUAUUGUCCGACUGAUCCAGGUUAGGCUGCGGUUAGCUUAGAGUAGACUGGGGGAUUUUGCAAAUCGUAAACUUCGUGCCUUGAGAUUAAGGGUUAGAGACCGAGUGUUCCUUUGAGUAUUGCCCAUGAAGGGCGUGAUGAGGUUCAGGAGGAAAGGCAGGCUCAGCCCUAGGUAUAUUAGACCUUUUGAGAUACUUUAAACAGUUAGAGAGGUAUCUUCUAAGUCGACCUUUCCCCCAGAUUUUGUCAUUAUUCAUCUAGUGUUUCAUGUUUUUAAUGUUAUGGCAUUAUAUUCUUGAUGAGUCUCAUGUGCUACGGUGGGACUCAAUUUAGUUGGAUAAGAGGUUGGCCUUCGUGGAGGAGCCAGUUCUCAUAUUACCCAUGGAUGUAAGGUGGUUAUGGUCUAGGAAGAUUUCAGUAGUUAUGGUUUAGUGGAGGAACCGCCAAGUAGAGGAGGUUACCUGGGAGAUUGAGAGCAAGAUAUGGGCCCAGUAUCCCUACAUAUUCGAGCCUGUUGGUAUGCCUUGAUAACGCUCAAUCUACAGCUCUCGUGGGAGUGUAAAGCGGUCGUUAGCAAAUAUAGAACCCAACCUGGGUUGGGUAUCGAUCCCACAGAGAAUAGCUUGGCCAACAAGCAAGAGAAAUUACUAGACUUUUAGUGCAAGUCUCGUAGGAAAGGGGGGAUUGUAGUAUGUAACCAAAACAAGAAGGUAAGAACUGAAAAUAGCAAAAUAAAGAGAGAUUGUCACGUGUGUUGUAAACAAUGAGAAUUGAGGCGUUGGGGUUAUGUCCACCUUCUGAGGUAUACGUCUCUAUUGGCUAUGAGUGUGUAGAGUCUUGACAUGUAAUUGCUUAUAGAGAAUUGUAGUCGAUGGUAAAUCCAAGCGUCUCUCGACCUAAACAAGGACUAUUUCACUUUAACUCUCUCGAGCUUAAAGCGUGACUAACGGUACGAAUUCUCCAAGAAGUUAGUCCAGGUACGGCACUAGCUUUUUAAUAGGAAAGGGUGUCCUACUACCUUGACAUUAUCUCUUUUCCAGACAAAUAACUUUUCUCUCGAACAAGUCAGAUGUUAGACUGGCGUUGGUCUAUGCGUCUUCUUUUCUAGACAAAUAACCUUUCUCUCGAACAGGUUAGAUGUUAGAAUGGCGUGUUCUUGUGUUUGAACCGCAAAGAAUGUAGAUUUAAGAUGAAGAGAAUAAUGAUAUAAGCAAUAUACUUGUCUUGAACUCACAAACUCAUAGCUAUAGAUAGUAACUCAUUCGGCUUCCAUAACCCCAACUAAGAGAUUUAGUUACCCAUGAAUGCGAAGGAUAUCACGCUUUGCAUGGUGGAUGGCGUGAAUAGUAGGUGUUUGGCGUGUGGUUUUAGUGAUUCCGUAGCAAGUAACGAUUCUCUUGUUGUGGAAUUUAAGAGUAGAAGAAUGAAGAAUUGAGAAUGGGUUGUAGGAAGAUGUCUUAAUUGUAAGGAGAUGAAUGAAUUGUCAGAAUGUCUCCCUUCUUGAAAAUCUCUAACAUGAUAGGGUAUUUAUAAUACUCCUAUCCUACUCCUACUAAACUAAUAAAAUAAAUAACCAAAUCCUAAUAUACUAAUGAAAUCCUUGACCCAAUUGUACUAGGGUAAGGUUACAAAAUUAUAAUCCAAAUAGAAUGAUGAAACACAUAACCUAAUUGCACUAGGUUAAUGUAUUAUGGCAAAAAUCCAGCUUUGUGUCUGUAAGUCCCAAAGUCUUCAGAAAUGCUGUUUUAGCCCGGGACAGAUUUUCCAUGCAGCAGAUUUAGUCCUUUAUGCGUCCAGCUCCUUUCCAUCUCGUUUGUGAGCUUUCUUUUGCGUCAAGUAAGCCAUAAAUUGCUGUAUUUUGCAUCAUUUAUACCUGAAACUUUCCUAAUCACAUUUGUUAGCUCAUUUACAGGAAAAAGGACUAAAAGUGUACGAAAUAGAUAAUUAGUUCUCGAAACUAGGCUAAAAUAUGGGCAAAAUAUAUUGAUAUAGGCGCGUAAUUUCGCCUAUCAUCAACACCCCACACUUAGAGCUUUGUUCGUCCUCGAACAACAUAUCAUGUCCUUCUAAGCAUUGACUUAAGGUUUUUACAGAAACAACACAAAACAUUCUUCAAGACAAGCACAACAAUUAUCAACGAAGAGUAGCUUUCCGAUUAUAAGUAGAAACAAUUUAACCUCAAGCAUAGACUCGUGAUGGUGAUCAACUCGCAUGCAAACGUUUAAGGUACAUAGAAUCAUAUACAACUAUCCAAAACUCAUCAACCAUGUGUGUCUCACAAUAUAGUACCCAUAAUCACUCACAAGUAUAGCAUAUUUUUCAAACAUGGGCAGCAAAGUAUCCUUGCGCUCACUCUCACAAAGAAUUCAUAUGUAGCAGCUAAUGACCAUAGGCUUGCCCUUAAUGUAGUACUCCACUAAAUGUCGGAAUGUUAAGGUUAGGAUCAAGUAGGUCUUUUGAUGGUUGUAAUGUAGGCUAAGGGACGGGUAGGAUCAACUAUUUUGGCCAGAAAUAGUGACUAAGUUCCUAAGCACUUUAAUACAUCACAUUGUAUUAUUGACACUUUUUUGUAGCACCCUUGUUCUCCUCUUUUGUUUUUCAAUUUUAAAGCACAACUCACUUUUCAGCUUUCUUUUCCUUUUUCUUCUCACAACAUACCUCUUAUGAUAGCACUUUCUUUUUCAUAACAUAUUCAAGCACCAUUACAAUUUAAAGCAUCAUACUCAACCAAUUUCCUCUUAUGUUGUCACAUGACUUUUUCACUUUAAAGCACUUAGGAAUUUGGAUCAAAUUACGGUCUUGAAAAAAAAAUGAAUUAGGCUUACAUACAAGGUUGUCAAAGAAAUAGGCUAAAGGCUCAAAAGGGUUUAACUAGGAUGAUGUCCAUGGGUAGGUAAAACUGAAGGUAAACAAAUAUAGGUUGCCAAAGAAAUGCCUAAAUCAUAUCCUAAACUUACACUCCUUAUUUUCGCUUUGCAUACAUACCAGGCAAGUUCUAGCAUCAGCCACAUACAUAGAAUAUACUAUUAUCUCACACACACAAGGCACAUGGUCGACUUGAUUGGUAGCAAUAUAGACUCUCAACCCAACAAGUGAAGGAAUUGAAUCACACACUAUCACAUAAUGAGUCACAACUAGAGCCUAAAUGUCUCAAUAGUCACAAUUGUAAUACAUACUAUUGUUAUAAUCUCAUGCUGCCUAUUAAAAUAAUUUCAUGCGAGGCUAGAAAAAUUUUAACUACUAAAAACUAAAAAAAAAACGUCACACGAAAAAAAUCACAAAAAAAAAUCGGACUCAAAACAAAAUAAAUAAAACAAAAUAAACAAGCAAACAUACAAAUAUAGCAUGCAGAUUCUGCCGACACCCCACACUUAGACUAGACACUGCCCUCAGUGGAAAAUAAAGUCGAAGAACCUGAUUAGUCGGACUCUUCCUCAAUGUCAUACCCCCUUCGUUCGAGUCAUCGUAAGAGUCAUCGUCAGAGUUCUCCUCAGCAUCAGAAUCAGGCAAGCGUCUAUCAUCAUCAGUUGGCACGUCAUCAUCAAGAGGUUCCUCGAAAUAUACUCCCACUCCACACAUCUCCCGGGCAUGUCUGUUCAUUGGGUAGUCGUGGUCCAGCUGUUGGAGCUCUUCAGCAGUUGGAAUACGUCCACCACUCAUCAUAGUGAAUCUCGUCAUGCCAUAGAGAUGACGGAAGAAACUCUCGUCACGAGCAUGUCUCUCCGCAGUGGUAAGGUUGACUCCAUGCGUUGUUUCAGCAUCUUUGACCUUGGUGAGGUCAACCUUCUUUGGGGUAUGUGGGAGUUUGUGGUCAGCUGGUUCCUCCUCUAUAUCCUCCUUCCGCAACAUUGCUGUCAACAAAUUGCCGAAUGUGAAAUAGGACCAUUCACAUUCACAUCAGUCUGGCUUUCCUCAUGGUGGAUCGAAUGAUUGCCCCAAAGUUGAUAGGGACAUUCGUCAUUAAUGAAUAAACCAGGCACACUCUAUCUCUCGAUAUCUUUGUGUAUUGCGUCCCAGGAAUGAGGCAUGAGUUGACAAUGCGCAUCCAGAUUCUUGCUUCCCUAUUUAGUGGAGCAUAGGGGAAUGUGUUGUGACGGCCUGUUUCCUUAUGUCUGCCCCAUCUCGCCAUCGAUCUGCUUCCACAAAGCGUGUGUCUUAUAGCUCUGUAAGGAGGUCUGCUGUACAGCUCUUUGUAUGGUGCAGUGUCGACCGAAGGUAGGCCUAGAAACGAGUUGAUCCAAUCCGCUGUAAGCUGUAACACUUGGCCCCGAAUUUUGACUUCGUUGCCUGUUGUGUUUGGCGACCAGUUGGCAUAAAACUCUCUUGUCAAGUCAAGAUUGCACUCUCCCAUGUCACGGAAGAUGAAAUCCAGCUUCAAAGCCAUAAUCUUAGCCAACAUUUGCGGCUCCUUCUUUGCUAAGGUCUCCUUAUUGAUUAAGUCGACGUGCACAUAUUUCUUUUCUUUGUUGCUGCUGUACCAUGCCUUGGCUUCUUCCUCAAGAACCCAUUUGAUUCCGAACAUUCUGCGUGGUAGGUGUGCGGAAGAUGAUUCGCCUUGGUCUUUUCGGCUUCUCUUUUUGUCCUUGCGGGUUGUGGUAGCCUUCUCCUUGCCUUGCCUUGCUUUCGGUGCCAUUGUACCGCCUUUACCAUACAACGCGACCAAAUCGUCAAUUGAAAUCAAUCUCCUCGUUGCAUACUUCUUACACCUAUAUUUGCUCAAACAAAUGAAAACGAUUAGUACGAUGGGUUGCCUCCCACCAAGCGCCUUAGUUUUGGUCGUGGCACGACUCUUAUUUUUGGAUUUUCAUUUAUCAAAAAGAAAAAAUACUAAAACGACAAAACGAUAAAACAAUAAAACGAAGGGUUGCCUCCCAUCUAGCGCCUUAUUUAUUGUCGUGGCUCGACGUAGUAAUCUCGAGUACUUAGACUUCGUCGAGAUAAGUGAUGGCCAUGUCAUUUAUCGAGUCAAGAGGACCGAUAUAUGGCUUAACACGUUGGCCAUUCACCUUGAAGAUAACACCCUCAUUAUUUUCCAAUUCGACUACUCCAAACGAGUAGACGUGGGUGACUUUAAAUGGACCAGACCACUUUGAUUUUAACUUACCUGGGAAGAGCUUGAAUCUGGAGUUAAAGAGUAGCACCAUGUCACCUUUUUGGAAGUGUCGUCGAACAAUCCGCUGAUCGUGAUACUUCUUCAUCCGCUCCUUGUAUAAAUCUGAUCUUUCAUAAGCAUGGAGACGGAAUUCAUCUAGCUCGUUCAGCUGCUCCAACCUCAGGUUCUUCACAUCAUCCCAAUUCAGAUUCAAGUGCUUCAAUGCCCAUAAUGCCUUGUAUUCAAGCUCGAUGGGUAGAUGACAAGCCUUCCCAUAAACUAGCUGAUAAGGUGACAUGCCAAUGGGUGUCUUGAAUGCAGUCCUAUACGCCCAUAGUGCAUCAUCUAGCUUCCGAGACCAAUCCUUCCGAUUCGCAUUGACCGUCUUGGCAAGGAUUUGCUUGAUCUCCCGAUUGGAAACCUCUACUUGUCCACUAGUUUGGGGAUGAUAAGGCGUAGCUACCUUGUGUUGCUUGACUCCAUACUUGGCCAAUACAGAUUUGAAUAGCUUGUUGCAGAAGUGAGAUCCUCCAUCACUUAUGAUAGUACGAGGUACCCCAAAGCGAGAGAAGAUAUUCUUCUUUAAAAACGCUACAACACGCUUUCCUUCAUUAUCGGCCAAUGCUACAGCUUCAACCCAUUUCGACACAUAAUCCACAGCAACCAAGAUGUACUUCAUUCCAAACGAAUUUACGAAUGGUCCCAUGAAAUCAAUACCCCAUACAUCAAAGAGUUCUACCUCCAGGAUUGUGGACAUGGGCAUUUCAUGGUGUUUUGAAAUAACACCUUGACGUUGGCAUUGGUCACACCUUCUCACAUAGUCGUGUGCAUCUCUGAAUAUUGUAGGCCAAUAAUAACCACUUUGCAAGACUUUUCUUGCUGUUCGAUUACCCGCAUGAUGUCCUCCAACUUGCGAAGUGUGGCAUGCUUCUAAUAUAGUGGGCACUUCGUCAUGGGAUAUACAUCGUCGAAUGAUACCAUCCGCACAUCUUCGAAACAAAUAAGGCUCAUCCCAAUAAUAGUGCUGAACGUCAUGCAUAAACUUCCUCCUCUGGUGGUAAGAUAAAUUUGUAGGUAACACAUUACUCACCACGAAAUUCGCAAAGUCGGCAUACCAUGGUAAGUCUUCUAUUGUUGUCGCUAAUAUCUCCUCGUCAGGGAAUGCAUCGCCAAUCUGAUUUUCUGAUUGCGCCACAUACUCAUUCUCAAGUCUAGAUAGGUGAUCAGCCACUUGGUUCUCGCAACCUCUUCUAUCUUUGACUUCGAAAUCAAACUCUUGCAGCAGCAACACCCAUCGAAUCAGCCUUGGUUUUGCAUCCUUCUUUGUCAUUAGAUACCUAAGAGCUGCAUGGUCUGUAUGAACGAUCACUUUAGUACCUAAUAGGUAGGCGCGGAACUUCUCAAACGCAUACACAACCGCUAAUAGCUCUUGUUCAGUGACGGUGUAGUUCCUUUGGGCUUCAUUGAGGACCUUACUCGCAUAGUAGAUAGGAUGAAAUAAUUUCUCCUUUCUCUGUCCAAGAACAGCACCAACGGCUACACCACUAGCAUCACACAUGACUUCGAACGGGAGCGUCCAAUCUGGUGUUACCAUGAUAGGGGCUUCAACGAGUUUUUCUUUAAGGCAUUCAAAUGCCUUUAAGCAAUCAUCAUUAAAGUCAAACUUCGCAUCUUUCUCCAAUAGCUUGCAUAAUGGACUAGAAAUUUUGGAGAAGUCUUUGAUGAAUCUACGAUAAAACCCAGCAUGGCCAAGAAAACUACGAACUCCCUUCACCGAAAUUGGAGGUGGUAGCUUCUCAAUUACCUCUAUUUUGGCGCGAUCAACCUCUAUUCCUUUUUCGGAGAUCUUGUGCCCAAGAACAAUUCCUUCUUUUACCAUGAAGUGGCACUUCUCCCAAUUCAGCACAAGGUUGAACUCUACACAUCUUUGUAAUGCCAUGCUUAAAUUCACCAAACAUGCUUCGAAAGACUCCCCAACAACUGAAAAGUCGUCCAUAAAUACCUCCAAAGUGUCUUCUACCAUAUCAGAGAAAAUAGACAUCAUACAUCGCUGAAAGGUGGCUGGUGCAUUACAUAACCCGAAUGGCAUACGUUUGAAGGCAAACGUACCAUAUGGGCAUGUAAACGUUGUCUUCUCUUGGUCUUCUGGUGCAAUAAAAAUCUGAUUAUAACCUGAAUAACCAUCAAGAAAGCAAAACCAUCCUUUUCCCGCUAAUCGAUCUAGCAUUUGGUCCAUAAAUGGCAUGGGGAAGUGAUCCUUGAGAGUCCAAGAAUUCAGCUUGCGGUAGUCCAUGCAUACUCUCCAUCCAGUGACGGGCCUGAGUGGAAUAAGCUCAUUCUUUGCAUUCGCAACCACCGUCAUACCUCCUUUCUUGGGAACACAUUGUACUGGGCUUACCCAUGUACUAUCAGAAAUAGGAUACACAACUCCUGCGUCUAACCACUUGAUAAUCUCCUUCUUCACCACCUCUUGCAUUGGUGGGUUUAGACGUCUUUGGUGUUCGAUGGUGGGUGUGCACUUUUCUUGGAGCUGAAUUUUAUGAGUGCAAAUUCCAGGUGGAAUACCAAGGAUAUCCGCAAUGGUCCAUCCAAUAGCUCUAAUAUACUUGCGUAAAAUUGCAAUAAGAGCUGCAACUUGUUGCUCACCUAAAUCGGCUGCCACUAUGACUGGAAGAGUGUUUCCGCUUCCUAAGAAUGCAUACUUCAAAUGGCUUGGCAGCUCCUUUAAUUCUAAUGUGGGUGGUUCUUCAAUAGAUGGCUUAGCUGGUGGUGUGGGUCGAUUCUUGAGAUCAAGAUCCAGCUUCUUAGGAGGAUAGCGAUAUGCUCCUAAUCCCGAUAGAGCACAAAUAUCAUCUUCAGAAAUUUCAGCAUCAUCAUCAUCUUCUUCCAUGAGCAAAACCUCCAAAGGAUCAUCAAGAAUUUGUUCUUCAGCAAGUAACUCAUCCUCGUCAUCAACGACAACAUCAGUCACAGAAAAUACACUUAGAUCUUUGGGUUGCUUCAUUGAUUUGCAAACAUCAAAGCGCACCACUUCAUCAUUUAUUCGGAAUGAAAGUUCAUUAGCUCUCAAAUCUAUGAGCACACUUCCCGUAGCAAGGAAAGGGCGUCCCAAGAUUAUGGGAACCUCUGAAUCUGCUUCGCAAUCCAAGAUGACAAAGUCUGCUGGAAAUAUGAAUGAAGAUACCUUCACCAAGACAUCGCAUAGAAUACCAACCGGUCGUUUUACCGACCUAUCCGCCAUAACAAGCUUCAUAUUAGUUGGUGUAGGAUCUCCCAACCCCAACUUCUUGUAGAUUGAUAAUGGCAUCAAGUUGAUGCUGGCUCCUAAGUCACAUAAUGCUUUAGCAAAGUCCAAAGAUCCGACGGUGCAAGGAAUAGUGAAAGCUCCGGGGUCGGCCUUCUUCUGAACUAUGGAUCGGGUAGCUAUUGCACUACAAUGAUGCACAUCUUCUUUCAGCUCAUAGCUUGCUGCCCUCUUCUUAGUCAAAAGAUCUUUCAUAAACUUCGCAUACCCAGGCAUUUGUUCAAGUGCCUCUACCAAUGGGACAUUAAUAGUCAGCUGCUUCAAGAUGGUCAUGAACUUGCUGAACUUAGUGUCAUCGGCCGCCUUCUUCAGUCUUUGUGGAAAAGGUGGUGGUGGGUAUGGAAGUGUUCUUUCCAUGGCUUUCUUCUCCUCUUGCUUCCGUUUAUUACUUUUUUCAGGCUGCACGUCACUAGGCAACACGUCCUUGACGUUGGAAGUGGAUAUUGCGGCGUCUUCCCUAGUGGCGUCACUAGGUGUGGCGGUUGUGUCUGCUGUUCUGUCAACUAUUUGCUUGCCUUCUGCUGAAGUUUCCAGCACCUUACCACUCCUCGUAGUGAUGGCCAUGCAUGACCCAUCAGUCCUUGGAUUUUGCACCGUAUCGCUAGGCAAGGUGCCGGCUUUUCUUUGGUUGAGUGUUGCUGAAAGUUGACUGAAUUGCUGCUCUAGUUGCUUGAUAGAAGUGGAAUGAGAAUCAACUAAUUGCUUCAUGGAGGCCAAAUCGUCAAUCACCUCCUUAACUCCCGCAUUCGUCGCUUCCACUCCUUUCAAUAACUUAGCCAUCAUGUCUUCCAUAGAAUUAGAUGUGGUGGUAUCACGUCUACCAGGGGGAACGUACAAACCACUGUUUUCAUUAUUUUUCUUCCAACUACCUUGGUCUUUACCUCCAGAUUUGUCAUAAUAGUUCCGACCUUGGUUUCCUUGGGCAUUCCCACGGAAACCCCCCUGAUUGUUCAAGUAGUUGGCCUCCUCUUCUGAAUCAGAUUCGUCUCUUCCUUUUGACGCAAUAGAUUUCACUUUUUCAGUCUUCCCUAAUAGAUGCUUUGUAAGAAGAUCCAUUUGGGUUUUCAUGUGCGCCAUAUCUUGAUCACGUUCUUCUUCUCUCCUUCUUUGAUCUGCAGACAUGCCAAUAGAUAAAGUGGGGCUUGCUACCUCAGAAUCCCUGGUAUGCCAAGCUCUACUUUGUUUCGUCAUACGAUCUAGCAUGUUGCUUGCUUGACCAAAGGUGAGGUCCAUAAAAGAACCUCCAGCUGCGUUGUCCACCACUGGUUUAGUUACUGAAUUCAAGGCUCUAUAUAAGAUCUCCAUGAGGUGAACAUUAGUCAUGUGAUGGUUUGGGCAUCUCGCUAGCUUUGUCUUGAACCUCUCCCAUGUUUCGUGAAGAGCUUCAGAGGGAAGCUGACGAAAGUUGCUGAUUUCAUCUCUCAAUUGAGCCCUCUUGGAUGGCGGAAAGAAUCUUUCUAGGAAAGCGUCUCUCAAUUGCCUCCAAUUUGUAAUAGAAUCAGGAGUCAGCCCAUUCAACCAUAAUGUUGCCUCCCCAGACAGAGACAAUGGAAAUAGACGUAAUCGAAUAGCAUUCUGACCAACUCCAGGAUUGUCAAAAGACUUGCAUGUAGAAAUAAAGUUGAUGAGAUGCAUAUUCGGAUCAUCGCCUGCUAGUCCACCAAAUAAUCCCUUGAGUUGCAAUAACUGAAUCAUGGUGCUAGUGAUGUUGAACUUGGCUCCGGGCGCUAAUGGUGGUGGAAUUAUAGCUCCAGUGGCUCCGGCACCAUCAAGAUCAUCAUCAUCAUCGUCGAAAGCUGGUUGCAAAGGUUGGCGAUCAUAUCUGUACCGAGCUUGUCGACCUCGUCUGUUGGUAGGUGUUGCCAUUUCAGCGCCAUGCCUUGGGUUGAUCAACUCGUCAUCUCCUAAAUCUUCAUCGUCAGGAUUUGUUGCUCGUCCAGGAUUAUCAAUGUUUUGUUGUUGGACUUGAGCAGCGGCAAGAGCAGCUAAUCUUGCUUGCUCAUGUUGAGCAGCCAUCCUGUCGAUUUCCGCUUGUGCUUCCAUUCUUCUGAUUCGUUGUGGUUCCGGAUUGAUUGGUAAUAACGGUUGACCAGAACUUCUAGUAUGGGGCAUGCACUAAAAGAAAAACCUGCAAUAAACAAAAACAAAAACUAAACGUAAAAGUACGAGAAUCUUUGACCAAAGGGUCUAGUAAUUUUCACGAACUUGAUUGACACUCGUAUUCCCCGGCAACGGCGCCAAUUUUUGAUAACGCUCAAUCUACAGCUCUCGUGGGAGUGUAAAGCGGUCGUUAGCAAAUAUAGAACCCAACCUGGGUUGGGUAUCGAUCCCACAGAGAAUAGCUUGGCCAACAAGCAAGAAAAAUUACUAGACUUUUAGUGCAAGUCUCGUAGGAAAGGGGGGAUUGUAGUAUGUAACCAAAACAAGAAUGUAAGAACUGAAAAUAGCAAAAUAAAGAGAGAUUGUCACGUGUGUUGUAAACAAUGAGAAUUGAGGCGUUGGGGUUAUGUCCACCUUCUGAGGUAUACGUCUCUAUUGGCUAUGAGUGUGUAGAGUCUUGACAUGUAAUUGCUUAUAGAGAAUUGUAGUCGAUGGUAAAUCCAAGCGUCUCUCGACCUAAACAAGGACUAUUUCACUUUAACUCUCUCGAGCUUAAAGCGUGACUAACGGUACGAAUUCUCCAAGAAGUUAGUCCAGGUACGGCACUAGCUUUUUAAUAGGAAAGGGUGUCCUACUACCUUGACAUUAUCUCUUUUCCAGACAAAUAACUUUUCUCUCGAACAAGUCAGAUGUUAGACUGGCGUUGGUCUAUGCGUCUUCUUUUCUAGACAAAUAACCUUUCUCUCGAACAGGUUAGAUGUUAGAAUGGCGUGUUCUUGUGUUUGAACCGCAAAGAAUGUAGAUUUAAGAUGAAGAGAAUAAUGAUAUAAGCAAUAUACUUGUCUUGAACUCACAAACUCAUAGCUAUAGAUAGUAACUCAUUCGGCUUCCAUAACCCCAACUAAGAGAUUUAGUUACCCAUGAAUGCGAAGGAUAUCACGUUUUGCAUGGUGGAUGGCGUGAAUAGUAGGUGUUUGGCGUGUGGUUUUAGUGAUUCCGUAGCAAGUAACAAUUCUCUUGUUGUGGAAUUUAAGAGUAGAAGAAUGAAGAAUUGAGAAUGGGUUGUAGGAAGAUGUCUUAAUUGUAAGGAGAUGAAUGAAUUGUCAGAAUGUCUCCCUUCUUGAAAAUCUCUAACAUGAUAGGGUAUUUAUAAUACUCCUAUCCUACUCCUACUAAACUAAUAAAAUAAAUAACCAAAUCCUAAUAUACUAAUGAAAUCCUUGACCCAAUUGUACUAGGGUAAGGUUACAAAAUUAUAAUCCAAAUAGAAUGAUGAAACACAUAACCUAAUUGCACUAGGUUAAUGUAUUAUGGCAAAAAUCCAGCUUUGUGUCUGUAAGUCCCAAAGUCUUCAGAAAUGCUGUUUUAGCCCGGGACAGAUUUUCCAUGCAGCAGAUUUAGUCCUUUAUGCGUCCAGCUCCUUUCCAUCUCGUUUGUGAGCUUUCUUUUGCGUCAAGUAAGCCAUAAAUUGCUGUAUUUUGCAUCAUUUAUACCUGAAACUUUCCUAAUCACAUUUGUUAGCUCAUUUACAGGAAAAAGGACUAAAAGUGUACGAAAUAGAUAAUUAGUUCUCGAAACUAGGCUAAAAUAUGGGCAAAAUAUAUUGAUAUAGGCGCGUAAUUUCGCCUAUCAUCAUGCCUUAACCCUUUACUUUGACAAAUAAAAGUCCUUUUAGUAGUGGAUAUUAUAAUUACCCUUCAGGUUAUUCUUCGCAUUUUCGCACUCUUCCAUCGUUUAGAGCAUUCACAUGCACCCCAAGUCAUUUAUGACUUGCAAGAGAUGACAACUCGGUAACCGGGCAAUUCGUAUGAUUUUUAGAGACAAUUCCCUAUUUUGAAAUUUUUGCAAUAAAGGAUUGGUUAUCGGGACUAAACUUUAGGUUAACAAUUUCAUAGGCCAAUUCCGACACGUUGAUUUUAGGCUAGGGGGAUAUUUGACUCAGGUUCCAAGGCUUCUAAAAUUGUUUUGGGCUAUUGGGUGGAUUUUGGUUAAAAUGACCAUUGGUUGUAGGACCUAUGUUUCAUCGAAAUGACCUCAUAUGGAAAAUUUGAUGGCACUAUUGAGUACGGAAUGUCAAAUUUGAUAGGGUAUCAUAGCUUGUUUACGUUUAUGGGUUUCUCAACGAAUCUAUAGGGUGCGUUGGAAACUUGGGAAAAACCAAGUUUUAGUUGAUUCAUGGACUCAGCUAGUGCAUCCACAUAAGAGGACAUAUAACCACUUUAGCAGACAUCGUUUAACAGACAUAUGGUUCGCUUUACUAAAGGUUAGCCUAGGGGAUGGGUAUAUUAAUUGACCAUAUGUCUCUUACGUGAUUGCCGCUUAAGCAGUCAAAUGGUUGCUUAAGCGGCAACCGUAGCACAGUUAUUUCACUCUUUGCCUUUUUGCCUUAUUAUUGAAAGACCCAAGCUCAUUAAAGUCCUAGAGAUUUAGAUAGAGAGGGGUGAUGAUAGUUGGAGAGUCUAGGCGAGUUAGAGAGUGUGUGGGACCAUUUUCUCAUCUUAGUUUUCGAAAGUUUCCGUCAAAUUCCUUGAUUGAUUCUCCAAUUUAACCUUAAAUCUCUAGUUUCUUUAUGGGACAAUUUUAGAUUCCUUUGAGCUCGAAAAUUACUCAUUCUUGAGGGCAAAAUGAUCCCUGAGCCUAGAGGGACAUUUUGAUGAUUUUAAAGUUGUGAUUCCAUAAGUGGGUCCCACAUGAGAUUUUUGACCCGGUGUUGGACCCAAAGCAUUUAUAAGCAAUAUGUGUAUUGUUAUUCUCAUAUUAAUGUGUAGAUUCUUAUUUUAAUAGUGUGGCAUCAUGUGGAGGCUUCUCGAAAGGAAAAUUUUCUAAUUUAGUGAACUUCAUCAGGCAUUCGUUGACGUCCAGGUAGGCUAGGCAUACUUUCCUUGUAGAUUGAAAUUUAUUAUGAUAUUAGUAUGAUAUUUUUCUAGUUUUGGGUUGGAAAUUAUGACUUGGGUGCAUAUCUUGUUUGAUUUAGAAUAUCUAGUUGGUUAGUGAGUCGUAUUUAGGCGGACUUGGCCUAUUCAUCCAUUCCCUUGAUUGAAUUGCGACCUUCGGACCUAGUUUGGCUUAGUUGAGACCUUGUAGCAGGACUUUGAAACCUCUGUCUAGUAUUGGGAUGGAAAUUGGCCUUAUCAUGGACUUUCAGAGUUAGAAGUGGGCCUCGUCGGCCUUCUUUAGGAUAAUGUUAUAAUUAGCUCCUUGUAAACCUAGGAGGCCUCUUUUGUCAUCCUAUAUAUAUUUAUGUUUUAGAGCCUUAGGGUGGUCUAGACAACUUUUCGACUCUUGAGUAGACUUGUACCUUGGAUUUACUUUAAAGAUCGGUCCAAGUCCGGCAAUGGUUACUCUGUUAUGGCCUUAUAUUUAUGGUUUGAGUCUGACAUUUAUGAUACAACCUUUGGUUCAAGUCUGAAACUGAUUGUUACUUAUUAUGUUGAGUAAUCGGUUCUAGUAUGAUGCUUAGGGUGUGUGUUAUGACACGAGACUACCCCCAAGUCGUAACACGGUGCUUAGAGUCACAAGUGACCCCAAGCUAACCCAUGGCCUGGCAUAACUCUAAGAAUACUAAAAGUAACAAAAAUACAAAGCGGAGGCUAGACGGUGAUAAUUGAUGGAAAUUAAAUAAUAAAAAUAUUGUAUAUCAACAAAAAUCUUGAAAUAAACUGUCUGACAACCAAUUAUGCUUAAAACUAAACAUUUCACUGAAAGACUCUAAAACGUGAUGAGUCAUUCGUACAAACCCCCAACUAACUCCAACUAACUGAUAUGAAAUAGACUAAAAAACUAAAUAACUGAUAUCUAGCCCUCACAUGAUGAGGACUCACCAAAACUGUGGCUGGAUGAGGCGCGGAACGAGCUAAGUGUGAUGUGAGUACUGAGCGUUUGAACCUAUAUUAUGAGAUAAUAUAGCAGGAAAGUAUGCGAUCAAUACUUUGAAUGUAUUGAGUUUGAGAGAUGGGAAACUAACUAGUCAAUCCAAACAUGAAUGCAUAAAAUAUGAUAAGUUGAAUACAAGACCAAGUAUGUUCAUAUGUUGUGUAAAACUGCCUAUUUGAAUAACUAAAAACAAGGUCAUGCAUAUCUGAUCGGAAACAUAAGAAGAACAUAAACUGAGUAUUGUGGGAGCUAACAAUAACUGAAAUACCCCAAUCUGAGUAAAUCAGGGUCCAACCUAAAACUCCAGUUGGAUGGGUGCUAGUACCUUCCUAAGGGUACCAACACUGGCUGGUGUGGAUCUACUAAACUGAUGUCCCAGAGGACUAGAGUGGUCCUAAUUGACAGGAGACCCCUCAUAAGCUACGGUGGUACCAUAGUUUUGGAAGUAGGGGCUGCUACUAAAGGUCUCAGUCCUAACUGAUGGGAAAGCCUCCAUUCUGUGUUCACUCGGUGCUAAGUACCACUCCCAACUAAACGACACUGAAAAUUGAUAUAUAUGCUCAAAAUAGUAAGAUUAUUAAAAAUAACAACAUAUGCAAAAUCUGAAGUGCUAAAACAUGUCAAUUGAUACAUACAUGAAAUCUUAGUUAUCGGAUGUUCAUAACCUACCAGCUCUGACUAAUGCAACUGAACAUGAUGAUAUAAAAAAGUGGAUCAUAAUAGGGAAUUUCAUAUUUUAAGACAAAACUCGAUCAUUUAUCAAAUACGAGGGAAACUAUGAUCCUGAGAAAGAGAAGAUCUUACUCAUAUAGGAAAACAGGUACUCGUGAUUCAAUUAUAAGAACAACUGAAGAAAUUAAGGAAAACUCAAAUUUGACUAGGAACCUAACUUGGAGGGAAAUUAAACUUAGGAUUUAGAAAUCUUUGGGACUUAAUGGGUUGAAGGAACCCAUUGAUGAAAUUCCACAUACCUGGAGAUAGGAAGCCUUGUAGAGAUUUUUUGGAAUUUGAACUUGAGGUUGAGGAACCCUAACUUGCUACUGGAGAAAAAAAAAUUGCCCUGUCUUUCUACGUUUAUAACGCUCAACUUACAUGUCAAUUUAAGUGCAAGGCGAUUGUUGUCCAUAUAAUUAUCCAACUAUGAGUCAGGGUCGAAUCCUUGAGGAACAAUGUGAGUGGCGAUUUAAAUAAGUUCGAAAUUGAAAUUUCUUGCUAAACUCAAACUUAAGAUACAAGUAAUUAGGGGAUUUUAGAUGUUUCGAAGAUAUGAUUACUAUUCGACUUCUAAAGGACUAACUCGGGCUAUGAAUAAUUAGUGUAUAAUCAAUUAGAGAUGAACCUUGGGAUUCUGCUUUCCUAGAUGCAACUUAUGCAUGGGAGCAUGAUGAUUCAGUGCAAAUUCUAAUCAUUAGUGAUGUGGUAGGCUAGGUUGAAAAUCCUUAAGGCUAGUUUGUCAACAAAGCCUCAAAGAUGUCAUGCAUUAGCCCUUUUGAGUACCUAAGGAGUAUGUCAAUUAAAGCCAUACAACGCCUUAAUUGGGUAUCCUAUUUCUAGGAUGAUACCUAAGGUACAGUCAACCUCGUAAUCACCCUCAUAUAUAAAAUAGUGAAAGUUAGCUGACUAUACCCAUUAAUUGUCUACUAUUGCCUUGGUUCCCGCAGACCUCUUUUAAGGAUGAUGAAGGUUCCAAAAGUUCACCUAAACUCCUCUUUCAAGGAUAGUUUGAGCUUUCAAGAGCUUAGGAUUUUCACCUACAAACCUAUGUGGGUAUUUGAGUCUUUCACCCACAAAUCCCAACCAAUUUAGUCAAGCAAUAGUAGAACCUAUCAUCAACAAAACUAGCAUAUACACAAAUGAAUCACAACCCACACAUAAUUUGCACCCUAUUGUAACAUAAUCAUAACAGGAAGAACUAGCUACACAUAAGGUUAAUAAGCAAGAUAUACUGAAAAAAACUCCAUCAAAUUGAUAUUUUGAAAGAUAAAGAGAAUAUAAAUCCCAAGCUUUAGGGUUCAACAAAUCUUCAAUAGAAAUUGUCAAUUCUCCACUUGAAAUCUACUCUAAUGUAAUAUUCACCCAAAAAUUAGUACAAUAGUUGUCUUUUAAAAAUUACAAACUAGAAUGAGGAUCAUAGUCCCCAAAAAUUCAGAAUCCCCUAUAUCUGAUAGGGUUUGAACUUCUUAAGGGAAUUUAGGAUAAACAUGUGAAUUUACAAAUCUGUGAUUGGGUUGUUUCCCGCUAGGCCGCGAUCGCAGGAGCUGGUACGUGAUUGCGGCUAUCGCAAUCGUGGUCAAAACUUGCGAUUAAAAUAUAUUGACCUGUCUUGACUGGCUGUAAUCGCGGUAACCGAGGCCUGUUUCUGCUCCAGGUUUUCCAGCUGGACUUCUUUUCUCUCUUUUGAUCCUUUUUAAUUCAAGUUCACAUUUUUUCAUCUCAUAACCUGUAUGCCUACAAAAUAUGGAUAUUAGUGCAUUUAAUCAUACAUAUGUCUCUUUUAUACCUUUAAAUCAUAGUAAUGUACACCAAUGUUGAGUGUAAAUGAUUGGUAAAUUAAUUACUCAUCAACACCCCCAACUUAAAGCUUUGCUUGUCCUCAAGCCAUACUACAUCUUACCAUGAGACUAUGCAUAUUUUGCCCAAAUUUAAUGAUCCAAUGAUCACAAUGACUUCAAGCUCAGUUACUACCAUAUGUAGCUCUUCAAACCUGUGCAAAGUUAUUCUCCCAACACCCCUCAACAUAAAAUGCAAUAUCCAAGGAUGUAAAAGACUUCAAAGAGAAACCAUGAAAAAAUCACUGAUACUCUAGAAGUGAAUCGACUUUGAACUCAAUAUCAACAUACUCUUUUUGCCUCAUUUUUCUGGGAAAUGACUAAAUCACCUACCUCAACUUGGUUACAUGCCUCCUCACAAGGAGGAAAAUUCCAUAUACCAAGUUAUCAAAUAUGCAGUAAGGAAUUUAAAUGCAAAACUCUCUCUCAAGAACUCUUGAUGCUAAAAAGUACCAUGCCAUAGGCUUGCCCUUAUUUUCAAUUGCCACUACAAUGAAAAUACUUUGUUAGAAAUCACGAAGGGUUUUUUGAGCUUGUAACGUAGGUUCGAGGUAGGGUAGGAUAUCAUUUAGGAACAAUAAGGAUAUACCCUUCUUGAACAUAUACAUCACACUAUUCCAUCCAACUUUUGAUCAAGGGUCAUUUCUUUGUGAAUUCACUUUUUACAUAUGUGCCUACUUUUAUUUCCUUAGUCCACCCAUUUUCUUUUCAUUUCUUUUUCUUUCUCCCUUUGUGCUACUCUUUCCUUUGUUGGAUUUUUUUUCUUAUUUAUUUGCACUCAAUGCUUAAGACCAUAGGCACUCACUUAAAACUUCGUGGCCUGAAGUUACCUCGUCUAAUCAUCACUACCCCAAUCUUAGGCUUUUAGCCUCAAGUUGGAAUUUUAAGCUCAAUGAGGGUAGGGUUCAAAAGAGGGAUAAGAAUUGCAGGCUCGCGGCUUACAAUGUGUUUUCCAAAGAAAAGUCCAAAGGUUCAAAGUGGGUGACUAGGGAUUACGACUAUGCAAAGGUAGGAUUUUUAAGCUAAAGUGGACUUCCUAUGUCACAAAGAUGGUCUAAGAUCAUCUUACCAACCAAGUACAAUCAAAAUUAGCAUUGAAAUUCUAAUGGGGAAAGUUCUAGAUGGUACAAGUACACAUAAGAUUUGAACAAAUAAGCUCGCCACACAUGGCAUGUAAACCAUAUGGUUACUCAGACUUUGCCAUAGGUACAAGUGCGAUCCCAAAUCCAAAAUUCCACAGGUACUCAGAUUUCCCUUGUAUUUAUAACCAUGAUAAUAUGGGUACUGAGACUUCCCUGCAUCCACGACUCAAAACCUAAUCACGAUGCUUUUCCCUUAAGAAUGUCAUCACUCAAUCUAUCAUAGAGAAAAUCUCGUCCAAUAUUAUCACAACCAAAAUAAAGAUAAAGUAAAAUAGAAAAGCUAAAAACAAACCAAAUAACUAAUCCAUAAAAUGUGGGCACCUUCAGAGUGCCCAAAUAAUGCAGCCCAAAAAUAAAAAUCAUCCACAAUGUCAUCAAAACAUCUAUAAAAUAGCUAAAUAAUACAAAUCGGGGGACCGACACCCCCAAAUGAAAAUAUUGUAGUGUCCUCACUACCUAAACAAUAAAUCUAGAUAAAUGGAUGCUCCCUGAAUCUGCAUCAAGAGGUGCUAUCUCCUGCUGACUUUACACCAUCAUUACCAGUAUCAGAACCUGACCACUCAGUAGGGGUCUCAUCAUUACUCUCUACUCUGGGAGAGGGUAGUCUGUCAUGGGGUUUCAAGACCUUCCACAAGCCCUUGACCCUGUUCCAUAUCUUGCUGAAGAACUUGUCUUUCUUCUUAUCCCUCUUUUUCAUCUUCUAGUGGGAGGCCCGAAGCUCCUUGUGAGACUCCGUCAGUGUUGAAUAUGCUCUCUCGAGCCUAGCAACAGUGGCUCCUUGCGUCUGCUGCUCCUUCUAAUACUUCUCAUAAUCUGAGUGGGAUACACAAAAGUAAUGCUAGAUGGAGGGCUCUCCCGGCCCCUGAGGCAAUCUUAAUACCAGUUCCUUGAUGACCCUAAUAUCCACAUCAAUAUCUUUUAGGGGCCUAGCAAUGGAUGGUCUGCACGACUCUAACUCCUCAACUGUCGACGUGCCCAAGUCAAUCUUUUUCAUUUUUCUUUUGUCAGGUGUACCCUCACCCCAAAUCUUUAAUGGGUAAAUUGGGGUCCCAAGGCAUACCCAAGUGUUAUCCGGGUAUUCUACCACCCCUACUCUCCUACAUAACUCAGUAAUAAGAGAAGGGAAUAAGAUAUGUGUACCACUAUAGUUCCUGUAGAACUUCAUAUCAUAUAUCACCAGACGACCAACAUUCAGAGGAAUAUUGUCCAGUAUAUAGGAAACUAUGUGGGCACACAUAUCUGUAACUAUAGCCAUGUGCGUUCAAGGAGAGAUCCGGCUAUGGAUGAUGUUCAGCCAUAUCCGAGCCUCAGUUGUGAAGUCAUUCAUGGAGAUGCCACUUAUUGUUGCCGCCCAUGGAACCUCCUUACCCGGGUACAGCUUCUCUGUCAUCCAGCUACUCAGCUUACACCCCUUAGCCUUAAAAGCAGCCAUGUCUACAUCCUAAAGGCCAUAUAAAUCAUUGACCUACUCCACUACAAAAUGCACAUUCACCCCUUGGAUCCUUAUAACUAGGGUUAUAAAAGAUACUAUGCUAAGAUUAGCAUAGAACUCUCGCACCCAUUGCUCGUUUUCCCUGCAUGGGUCUGGGGGAAAACAACUCCAUUUGGCGGCCAUGAGUCAAGAAUGAAAUGCUAGAAUCUUUUCCGACACUCUUUCCAAGGAUAUACCCCUUUUUGGGAGAAGCAUAGUCCUUGGAAAUUCAUUGUAGUAUUAGUUGUGGCAUUCAAGAGUCAUGAACCAGAUUUGGUCAUAGUUCUCUAUAAUGGUAACCUGCAAAACAUGAGGACAAUACAAAAUCAUUCAUCAUCAAUAUUUUUUAUGAAUAUACUACACUAUAUUGUCCGCUAAAUUUCAUAGGAUGGGUACUUGGUGGUGUUUGAAUAAAAAUUUAAACUGCAGGAAUUUUGACCUAGGCUAAAAUUCAGUCUCAAUUAUAGCAAUCAUGUUAGCUUGUCCGCAAUUGUGGCUACCACGAUUGCAACUACAAGUCAGCGAUCGCGUGUGCUACGAUCGCGGGCCCGAUGGCCACGAUUGUGGUACCAGAGACCAGACCAUGCUAGUUUUUUCACCAGUUUAACAAUCCAUUUUUGGGGACAAAAUGCCCUCCAAAAUAAUAAUCAAUCAUUAAUAACAUGAAAUAUGUGUUCUAAGUGUUCGAUCAUACCUCCAAAUGUGAAAAUAACUAGUUAUUGACUCAUUUGGGCAAUUGAUCGGCCACUUGGUGUGCACCCUAUAUUUUACUCAAAUUCACACAAUUUUGGGUAUUCAAGACUUCCCCACAUAUGUGCAAUCCCUAUCUAAAAGCUAAUCACCACACAAGUACUAUUCAAUAUUUAUUUAGUAAUGAAAAACAUAAUUUUAGGCCUACCUAGUUCAUGCACUCAAAGGCUUACUCUCAUAAUUAAAAACAUAAAUUUGAUGUACUUACCGAAUGAGUGAUGUUGAGUGGAUACAAAGAUGCUUUUGAAAUGCUCAAAAUAUUGCCACAAACGGGUAUAAUUUAAGAGAAAAGUUGGAGGGGAAAUGUGGGAGAAAUGAAAGAUCGUUGGUCUUUUAAAUUUGAUCGGACCGCAAUCACAGCCAAAGUUAUAUGAUCGUGGACACAGGGGUGAAUGCGAUCGAGGCUCAGAGCCCGCGAUCACGAUAACGGAGGGCAUUUUCGAACCUCUAUUUUCCCCUUUUCAAUCCACCAUACAAACAUCCCAUAUUUUCCCUUUUUGAUUCAUUAUAUACACUUCAAAGAGCCAUAAAUGUAUGGAUUAAUCAAUGGCAAAAUUUAAAAUUUACACUAUCAAAUUUAAAAAAAAAUACAGGGCGACUUUUAUGGCGUGAUAGGGCAUCUCCUAUCAAACGCUUAGUUUAACAUCGUGGAACAAUGCCUUUCAACUACCACUUGUUUUUCUAUUUGAAUAUCCGUCCUAACUUUAACUCACUAUGAAUUAAGUGGAAGGCGGACAGAAGAUUUAGAUCUUCCAAGAUGAAAUAUGAUAGAAAGGAGGACAGGGCGAUGUGGCUUCUAUCUUGCCACUUUGCAGACUUGAACCUUUUACCCAAUUUCAUAUCAAAUUUCUGAUUAGGCUCCUUGGGUAAUGGUGGAAACAUCAAUAAGCCGCCAGUUGAACAUCAGAAGUUGAGCUCAUUGGCCUUCGAGUGCGAGGUUCUCAUGUGCUCUUUUGGAAUGUCAAACUUUAAAUUAUAGGGAUGGUACUCCUUCUCCCCAAAAUCCAUCAUUUGCUUAGGUAGGUGGACUCUCAUCACACCCACUAGGCAUAAUGUUGAAAAAUGGUUCGAGUGAGCUUUAUACCUAAAUUCCAAAAUCGCAUCCCAAUUAGAAUCCUUACCCCGAAUUGGACUAGAGUUUUCACAAGAGAUUAGCUUGGGUUUCUUCUUUUGACUCUAGCACCAUUUACUCAAUUUUGGAAUCUUCAACUAUAUUAGGUUAGGUUUGUUGGAAAAUCACCGAGGACUCUUCGCUACAGAGCUCAUCAUUUGCUAUAUAUCUUGGUCUCUCUUCUAGAUUAUCUCAUGUUAAAAAGUGGGUAAGGUAAUGGUAUUUGAAGGGUUUGUUUCCUUGCCCAUUUCCUCUAUCUUGAUAAUCUCCCUUCAAAAUGCCUUACUAGAUUGAUGCAAGUGGUGCACGUCCUCCUCUAUUUAAGUUAACCUAUCUAAAAGAGUUUGAAGCAUUGCUUCAACACCAUUGUAUCCGGCAUGUUGUUCUUCUUUUUCCACAUCAUGCAACUUAUCAAACUCAUAAGAAAAACUAGCAUUUUUGUUAGCAUAACUAGGGGAGGGAGCAUUUGGAAAAUCACUCCAAUAUCCAUCUCGAACACUACAUAAAGAACAAUCAUACUCCCAAUAGGAUCGAGAUGGUAUCUCCAUCUCUCUUUGGGAAACAUAUCUACAAUCUUGUCGAAAGUGGGGUCCGUCACAAUAUGGACGUGGAUCAUCAAGAUAGGAUAUCCAACUACCAAAAUCAUAAUCAUCCCAAGAUGCCAUAGUGACUAGUAAAAAAAAUCAAAAUCUACCUAACACAAGAAAUAAAAGAAAAUCACAAACAAAUAUUUACAUGUUUGAAUCCAAGCAAGUAGGCUAAAAUUUCAAACUAACAAAAUAUGACAAAUUGUUCCCCGGCAAUGGUAUCAUUUUUGAUAACGCUCAACUUAUACGUCAAUUUAAGUGUAACUCAAUUGUCGUCCAUAAUUUUAUCCAACUAUGAGUCGGGGUCAAAUCCUUGAGGAACAAUGUGAGUGGCGAUUUAAAUAAGUUUAAAAUUAAAAUUGCUUGCUAAACUCAAACUUAAGAUACAAGUGGGGGAUUUUAGAUGUUUCAAAGAUAUGAUUACUAUUCGACUUAUAAAGUACUAACUCGGGCUACGAAUAAUUAGAGUAUAAUUAAUUAGAGACGAAUCUUGGGAUUUUGCUUUCCUAGAGGCAAAUUAUGCAUGGGAGCUGAUGAUUCGGUGCAAAUUCUAAUCAUUAGUGAUGUGGCAGGCUAGGUUGAAAAUCCUUAAGGUUAGUUUGUCAACAUAGCCUCAAAGAUGUCAUGCACUAACCCUUUUGAGUACCUAAGGAGUGUGUCAAUUAAAUCCACCCAAUGCCUCAAUUGGGUAUCCUAUUUCUAGGAUGAUACCUAAGGUAUAGUCAAUCUCGUAAUCACCCUCAUGUAUAAAAUAGUGAAAGUUAGCUGACUAUACUCAUUAAUUGUCUACUAUUGCCUUGGUUCCCGCAUCCCUCUUUGAAGGAUGAUGAGGGUUCUUAAAGUUCACCUAAACCCCUCUUUCAAGGAUAGUUUGAGCUUUCAAGAGCUUAGGAUUUUCUCCCACAAACCUAUAUGGGUAUUUGGGUCUUUCACCACAAAUCCCAACCAAUUUAAUCAAACAAUAGUAGAACCUAUCAUCAAUAAAACUAGCAUAUACACAAAUGAAUCACAACUUACACAUAAUUUGCACCCUAUUCUAACAAAAUCAUAACAGGAAGAACUAACUACACAUAAGGUUAAUAAGUAAGAUAUACCCAAAAAUCUCCAUCAAUUUGAAUUAUUGAAAGACAAAGAGAAUGCAAAUCGCAAGCUUUAAGGUUCAACAAAUCUUGAAUCGAAAUUGCCAAUUCUCAACUUGAAAGCUACUCUAAUGUAAUAUUCCCCCAAAAAUUAAUACAAUAGUUGUCUUUUCAAAAUUAGAAACUAGAAUGUGGAUAAUAGUCCCAAAAAAUUUUAGAUCCCCUUUAUGAGAUAGGGUUACUUCCUAAGGGAAUUUGGGACGAACGUGUGAAUUUAUAGAUCUGCCCUUGGGCUAUAUUCUCGCUAGGCCACAAUCGUGGAAGCUAGUCCACGAUCACGGAUAUUACGACCGCGGUCUAAACUUGCGAUCGCGGUAUAUUGACCUAUCUUGAUAUGUCGUGAUCAUAGGCCUUAGAACACAAUCGCGGUAACUGAGACCUAUUUCUGCUCCAAGUCUUCCAUCUGCACUUCUUUUCUCUCUUUUGAUCCUUUUUAGUUCAAGUCUACAUCUUUCCAUCUCAUAACAUGUAUGCCGGUAAAAUGUGGAUAUUAUUCCAUUUAAUCACACAUAUGUCUCAUUUAUACAUUUAAAUCAUGGUGAUGUACACCAAUGUUGAGCGUAAAUGAGUGGUAAAUUCACCACUCCUCCUAAGUGUUGAAUGAUUUUGAGUUUAUAAGGCGUUAGGGUAGUACUAACCCACAAUAACUGGUCUUGGAGUGUCCAAACAAUUUGGGUUUAGGGGUUAAAAGAAUGGGAAAAUACUAAACAACCCUUUUUAAAAUAUGCAAAAAUUUCUAGGAACAGUCACCACGACUCGGGUAACUACUGGUUACGAGUCGUGGUAUAAAUCUAGACUGGAGGACCUGAGUUCAGAGUCCUUUCUGUUAUGUCAAUGACUCCUCUCUUAGCGACUCAUUAGGUAUGAUAACAAGUUGUUAUGAAGGUUCAUUUCUAAAGGCUAAGUCCUUGGUUUCUCAAUAGUGUGACUAUGGGUCCACACACAUCAAGUCAUUUAGUCUGACAAUGAGUCGUGUGUUGGACUCGUUGCCACCAGUCUGAAUUUCUUGGUCACUUAUUGCCAUGACAACGAGUUUAGGCUAUGACUCAUUGUAUCUGAGAAUGGGUAGUUGCUACUAGCAGUUUGAUGGGGCCUUAGGAAAUUUUCCACAACUUUUUACUACGACCUCAGAUUAAAGUGAGAUUAGAGACUUUGGAAAUCUUAUUUAAUGGCCUAUCUUUUGGUGGGUCUAGAGCUGAAAAUUUUGGGGUAUUAUAAUAUCUCCACAUUGGGAUCCUUUGUCUCCAAAUGAAAUUGAUUAAGCUGGAGCACUUGGGGAAAAGCUAAGAUUUUGCACGGAACACUUACGAGUUGAACUAUAAACUGAUAUCUGAUUCUGUGACUGAUGCAUAGACUAAACCGAACUCAUGAAUACAUGCUAUGCCAUGAAAAUAGCUGAUGAACUCAGAUAGAAAUGACAAAAUUAAUUAAUUAAGGGAAACUAUUACUCAAGAUAGAACUGGGUUCGAAGAGAAAAGAUAGGGGUACUUGGUCAUCAUAUUUACCUCUAUUUCCUAAGUUGCUCUCUCAAUUGACUGAUUUCUCCAUGGAACCUUUACCAAGGCAACCUCUUUAUUCCUCAGCCUACAGAUAUGACGAUCAAGGAUCUCAACUGGGACUUCUUCAUAAGAAAGUUUAUUUUCCAUGCCAACCCUUUCUAAAAGGACUACUAAGGCUAGACGACUACUGUAUUUCUUCAUCAAAGAGACAUGGAAAACUGUAUGCACUGAUGCCAACUCUGUAGGCAAUUCCAACUCAUAGGCCACCUUACCAUACUUACUCAAAAUUCUUUAAGGACCAACAAAACAGGGAGUAAGCUUCCUUUUCAUACCAAAUCUAUUCACCACUUUCAUGGGAGAAAUCUUAAAGUAGAUAAAAUUGCUAAUAUCAUACUCAAGCUCCAUCCUCCUCUCAUCGGGGUAUGACUUUUGAAAACUCUGAGCAAUUUUCAGCCUUUCUCUAAUUAGUUGAACCUUUUCCAUUACCUCAUGUAUAGAAUAUGGCCCUUUCAAAGUAGUUUCACCAACUUCAAACCAUCCAAUAGGAGAUCUACACCUCUUACCAUAAAGAACCUUAAACGGGGCCAUCUAAAUAUUGGAGUGAUAACUACUAUUAUAAUCAAACUCAAUCAAAGGCAAGUGAUCAUCCCAACUACCCUUGAAAUCAAUCACACACGCCCUUAACAUAUCUUCUAAGGUCUGAAUAGUCCUCUUUGCCUAACCAUAUAUUUGUGGGUGAAAAGUCAUACUAAGAAACACUUGGGUACCAAGACCCUUCUGAAAAGUCUUCCAAAAUCAAGAGGUAAACUGGGUACCUCUAUCUGAAAUAAUGGUCAAAGGGACUCCAUGCAUUUUCACCAACUCCAUAAGAUAGAGUCUAGCACAGUCCUCAGUUGAAUUUGAAGUAUUUACUGGCAAGAAAUGAGUUGACUUAGUCAUUCAGUCCAUUAUAACCCAAAUAGAAUCAUGUUGUCGACGAGUACGAGGCAACCCUAUUACGAAGUUCAUAUUUACCACUUACCACUUCCAAGUAAGAAUACUAAAUUCCUGAAGUAUACCACUAGGCCUCUGGUUCUCUACUUUAACUUGCUGGCAAUUUGGACACUUAGCCACAAAUUUUGCGAUAUCUUUAUUCAUGCCAUUUCACCAAUAGACUUCCCGCAAGUCAAGGUACAUCUUAGUAGCUCCUAAGUAAAUAGAAUAUCGAGAACCGUGAGCUUCGCUGCUAUCUUUUGCCUAAAACCAUCCAUAUCUGGAACACAUAAUUUGCCAUGACAACAAAGGACACCAUCUCCCCUUUGGGAGAAAACCUCUACCUUCUAAUUCUAAACCACCUUUUUCAACUUUUCCAAAAUGGGAUCUCUAUCCUUCUUCUUCUUUACUUCAGCUACCAAAGAAGAUUCUAAACCAUUUUAAAGCCAAAUAGUACCUUCAGUUGAAUUAACCUCCCAACCUAGAAAGUUGAUGAACCUCAAAAACUAACUCUUACAUAUCAUCCUCCACGUGAUCAAAACUCCUCAUAGACAAUCUGCGCCAGCCACAACAUUGUUCUUACCCGGAUGGUACAAUACACUCAUAUCAUAGUCUUUCAAUAACUUAAGCCACCUUAUCUAACAAAGAUUUAGAUCCUUCUAGUUGAACACAUACUAAAGACUCUUGUGAUCAGUGAAGACAUCAACAUGAACCCCAUAAAGAUAAUUCUUCAAAAUCUUCAAGGCAAACACGACUUCCGUCAACUCAAGAUCAUGAGUUUGGUAGUUCCUCUUAUGAGGAUUGAGUUACCUAGAGGCAUAUGUAAUAACCUUGCCCCGCUGCAUCAAAAUACAACAAAGUUCAACUUUAGAAGCAUCACAAUAAACCACAAUACCAUUUGAACCCUUUGGUAGAGUAAAAACUAGAGUGGACAUAAGUCAAGUCUUCAACUCAUGAAAAUUCUUCUCGCAAGAAUCGUACCACUAGAAUUUGAACUUUUUCUGAGUCAGCUUGGACAUGGGAGAAGCAAUAGAGGAAAAUACUUUGAAAAACCAUUGGUAGUAACCAGCUAAACCCAAGAAAUCCUGAGAUCUGAUGGAGAUAUAUUUCUAGGCCAGUUUCUUACUACUUUGGUCUUUUGAGGAUCAACUCGAAUACCUUUUUUGAAAAUGAUAUGACCAAGGAAUGCUAAUGAUUUUAACCAGAUGUCACACUUAAUUAACUUAGUGAAUAACUUGUGAUCUUUAAGAGUCUAUAAGACAAUCAUCAAAUGAUCUUCAUGUUCACCAAUACUUCAAGAAUAAAUGAAGAUGUCAUCUAUAAAGACUAUUACGAACAUGUCCAAGUACUGCUUGAACACCCUGUUCAUCAAGUCCUUAAAAGAUGUAGGAGCAUUCGUUAGUCCAAAUACAUAACUACAAAUUCAAAGUUACCAUACCGAGUUUCUAAAGGUUGUUUUCGACAUGUCACAUUCUGUGACUCUAAGCUGAUGAUAAUCGGAUCUGAGGUCUAUCUUAGAAAAACAAUUAGCACCUUAAAGUUGGUGAACAAAACAUCAAUCUUGGGGAUGGAUACUUAUUCUUGAUAGUGACUUUGUUCAAUUAAUGGUAGUCAACGCACAUUCUGAGAGAACCUCCUUUCUUAUGCACCAAAAGAACUAGAGCACCCUAUGAAGAGACACUCGGCAUAAUGAAAGCCUUAUAUAUAAGGUUUUUUAACUAUUCUUGCAAUUUUUUAAGCUUGGUUGAAGCUAUUCUAUAAGGUGGAAUUGAAAUAGGUUGGGUAUUUGGAAGAAGAUCUACUCCAAAGCUAAUUUCCUGCUCGAGAAGGACUCCGAGAUGAUCUUAAGUGAAUACUUCUAGAAAUUCAUUUACUACAAAAAUUGACUAAAGACUUAGGAUUUUGGAACUUGAGUCCUUGACUCAAACAAGAUGAUAGAUACACCCUUUAGAAAUUAUUUUUCUCGCCAUGAGGAAAGAGACAAACUGACUUAUAGGCACUGAUGUACUACCUUCCACUCUAAGACUGACUCAUUUGGAAAUUAAAACUGAACUACUCUAUUUCUACAAUCAACUGAGGCAUAGCAAGAAUGGAGCCAAUCUAUGUCAAUAAUAAUAUCAAAGUUGAUCAUGUAUAACUCUAUGAGAUCAACUGAAGUGACUUUUUAGGAUACUGUGACUGGCAAUAGUUAUAUACCUAUCUGACUAUGAUUGAACAACCAACUAGAGUAGAAACUGAGAAGGGUUCUGCUAGGAUUUUGGGACUGACACCAAAAUCUACUACUAUAAAGAGAGUCGCGAAGAAAAGUGUGUCUCCAGGAUCUAAUAAUGCAAAAACAUAAAGGUGAAAGACUUGUAACGUACCAGUAACCAUAUUAAGAGAACCCUCUUAAUUUUGUCGAGUCUAAAGGGCAUAAAACCUACCCUAAUGUUGUCUAAUAAUUUCACUGGAGGUGGCACCCUACUGAGUUAGGCAACCUGCUAGAACUGCUGAAGAAUUAGAAUGACUUUGCUGAUGAAUAUUUUUACCCCUCUACGCAGUCAUUGGAUAUUCUAUAAUUCUAUGGCCUGACUUGCCAUACCUAAAUCAAGCAUCACUAUUUACCAUGUAUUCACUCUUGUGAUUCCUACUACAUCUCUUGAAAACUGGGUUGGUACGAAUACUAUUUACAUUACCCUUAGACUUAAAGCCUGGCACUCUAUCUCAAGUAUCCUGUCUGAACUUGGGAACUGGGCACUAGCAGAAAAUAGGGAUGGAACUAAAGAUUUCUAGCAGAACUGGGAGCGAUUUCCACCAUCCGAGCUUUGUUGGGAGAAAUUGAAGCUACCAAUAUUGGCCUUCUUAUUCUCCAUUUCCCUCUCUUUGUUCUUAUCAUCUUCGAUCUAUUGGGCAUGAACCAUCAAUAGGGAGGUAUCCAUAUCCUUAACCAACAUGGUCGUCUUACACUUCUUGACUAUAUUCCAAAAACACCAGACACAAACUUACUCAUUUGGGACCUAGAAUCAGCCACCAUAGUCGAAGCAUACCUCACCAACUAAUUAAACUUGAGUGAAUAAACCUUCACACUCAUGUUUCCCUACUUCAAGUUUAUAAAUUCCUACACCUUGGCUUCUUUUAAAUUAAGUAGGAAGAGUCUAUCCAGAAAUGUAGUAACAAACUCAAGCCAUUCUACUAGACCUGCAUCUGCAUCUCUAUCCUCCUUCUACUGCUUAUACCAUGUGUGAUCCACUCCUGCAAUAGAUAGGCAGCUAAAUUAGAACUUUCACUAGAAGUGACACCCAUGAUUGCAGUCACUUUUUGAAUACUAUCCAGGAACUUUUAUGGAUCCUCUUUAAAUUUUGACCCAAAAAAUAUUAGAGAAUUUAUCUGAGUGAAGUCCCAAAUUAUAGUUGUUGCCGUACUCACAACUGGGUUAGCUGGGGCGAUAACCUGCUAGUUACUCUGGGCUUUCAUAGCUUGGGUUAAUAUCGUGAAGGAAACCCUGAACUCAACAUGAGAGACCUGAUCAUUUAGAGGGUUUUUAGGAACUGGCAGUGGUGCUUGUUGGUUCUCUUGGUAGGCAUUUUCUAUAAAUAGAAAGAGGAUUAGUUUGAAGGACAAUCUUAAUAUAUUUCACACUCUAUCAUCCGAUAUGAAUCAUAAAAGAAGUGAGACUUUUCUAAAAUAUUUCAUAGCCUCUCACCUAUAAGUAUAGCACGUUUCACACCCAUGAAUGAGACUCUCCCAACUUUUAGACACCCUAGGACACUUUAAACUUGCUGCUCUGAUACCAAAUUUGUCAUGACCUGAGAGUUCCCCUAGUCUUAAUGCGGUGCUGAGAGUUACAAGUGACCUCAAGCUAACCCAUGGCCUACCAUAAGUCUAAGAAUAUUGAAAAAAUAACAAUAAUAUUAGGUGAAGGCUAAACAGAGGUAACAGAUGGAAAUAAAAUAAUAAAAACACUGGAUAUCAAACAAAAUCUAGAAAUAAACUGUCUGACAACCAACUAUGCUGAAAACUAAACAUUUGACUGAAAGGCUCUAAAAUAUGAUAAGUUGUUGGGAAAACACCCCAACCAACUCCAACUAACUGAUAUGAAAUACACUAAAAGAAAAUAAAUAACUAAUAUCUAGCCCUCGUAUGAUGAGAACUCACUAAAAUAGUUGCUGGAUGAGGCACGAAAUAUGCUAAGUGCGAUCCGGGUACUAUGCAUUCGAAGCUAUAUUAUGAAACAAUAUAGUGUAGAAAAGUAUGUGAUCAGUACUUUGAAUGUACUGAGAAUGUGAGAUGGGAACCUAACUAGUCAAUCCAAACAUGAAUGCAUGAAACAUGAUAAGUUGAAUGCAAGACCAAGUAUGUUCAUGUACUAAAACAUGAUAAGUUGAAUGCAAGACCAAGUAUGUUCAUGUACUAUGUAAUACUGUAUAUCUGAAUAAUUGAAUACAAGGUCAUGCAUAUCUGAACUAAACAUAAGUUGAACAUAAAUUGAGGAUUGUGGGAGCUAAUAACAACUGACAUACCCCCAAUAUGAGCAAAUCAGGGUCCAACCUAUAACCUCAAUUAGAAGGGUGCUAGUACCUUGCCAAGGGUACUAACACUAGUUGGCAUGGAUCCACUAAACUAAUAUGCCAGAGAACUAGCGUGCCAGUCUUAACUGGCGGAUAAACCCUCAUAACCUAUGGUGACACCAUAGUUCUGGAACUUAGGGACUCCUACUAAAGAUCUCAGUCCUAACAGAUGGGUGAGCCUUCAUCCCUACAUUCACUAGGUGCUAAGUACCACUCCCAACUGAAUAACACUAAAAACUGAUAUAUAUGCUCAAUAUAGUAAUAUUCUUGAAAAUAACAACAUAUGUAUAAUCUAAAAUGCCAAAAUAUGUCUGAUACAUGCAUGAAAUCCUAGGUAUCGGGUGUUCAUAACCCACCAUCUUUGACUAAUGAAACUGAACGAGAUAAUAUUAGAAAGUUGAUCAUAAUAGGGAAGUUCAUAAUUUAAGCCAAAACUCAAUUAUUUAUCAAAUAUGAGGGCAACUAUGAUCAUGAGCAAGAGAAUAUGUUACUCAUAUGGAAAAACAAGUACUCAUUAUUCAAUUAUAAGAACAACUAAGAAAAUUAAGGAAAACUCAUAUUUGACAUAAAACCCAACUUGGAGGGGAAUUAAACUUAGGGAUUUAGAAAUCUUUGGGACUCAAUGGGUGGAAGUAACCCAUUGACGAAAUCCCACAUAUCCAGAGAUGAAAGCCUUGGAGAAAUCUUUAGAAUUUGAACUUGAGGUUGAGAAAGUUGCCCCUUUUUUGCUAAGUGUCAAAUGGUUUUAAGUUUAUAAGGUAUUAGGGAAAUAUUAACCCCCCAAUAACUGGUAUUGAAGUGCCCAAACGAUGUGGGUUUGGGUUUAAAAGAAUGGGAAAAGACUAAACAAUCCUUUUUAAAAUAUGCAAAAAUUUUUAGGAAUAGUCGUCAUGAUUCAGGUAACGACUCAUUACGACUGGACACGAGUUGUGGUAUGAGUCACGACCUGAGGACGUGAGUUUUGAGUCUUUUCUAUUAUGACAAUGACUCCUCUCCUAACAACUGACUAGGUCUGAUAAUAAGUCUUUUACGAAGGUUUUUUGCCAAGGGCUGAGUUCUUGGUUCCUCACUAGUGUGACAAUGGGUCCACACACAUUGAUUUGUUUAGUCUAACAAUGAGUCAUGUGCUAGACUCAUCAUCACUGGUCUGAAUUUCUUGGUCAUUUACUUCCAUGGCAAUGAGUCUACACUACGAGUCAUUAUGUCUGACAAUGGGUCAUUACCUGGGCCAUUGCCACUGGCAGUUUGAUGGUACCUUAGGAAAUUUUCCAUAUUUUUUACUACGACCUCUUAUUAAAGCGAGACUAGUGAUGUUGAAAAGCUAAUUUAAUGGCCUAUAUUUUGGUAGGUCUAGAGAUCAAAAUUUUGAGGUAUUACAGUAUGGGAGAAUUCAUAGUUAUGGUUUUGAUUUUCAAAUAUGUUAUGUUAUCACUGUCAGUACUUCUAUCUUGAUUGCAUCCAUCAAGCUUAUGGAGGUCGGUUGGACUACUUUCCUCUUACUUGCAUAGUCUGAGCUUAUGGGGGGUUAGUUAGUCUAUAUUCAAUUGUUUUCUCUUUAAUAUUGUUUACUCUUCUAUUUAUCUUAGUCAUUCGGUGUGUUAAUUUAGGUUUUCUCUUUUAUGCUAACCUUAGUCUACUUUAUUACAUUUUAUUAUGCCUUUAUUAUGAUUUAUCUCAAUCGGCUAAUGAUGUCUACCAAGUGUCUAUUGCUUUGGUACUCAUAUUGCACUUCUGCAUCUUUUUCUGGUGCAGAUUCGGGUAUUAGUUGUCGUCGUUAGCGUCCAUUCUAGCAAUUGUCAGGAUUUGAAGAUAGGGUGAGAUUUUGGAACCGGGGAUGAUUCUUUCCUCCUAUACAAUUUGUGGAUAGUCUUUACAUUUGAAAC